CAAAGGUUUGGUCCUAGCCUUACUAUCAUCUACCCCUCAACUUACACAUGCAAGUCUCAGCGCACCCGUGAGGACGCCCUUUCAACCUUAACCUAGGCCAAGGAGCUGGUAUCAGGCACAAACCUUUGCCCACAACACCUAGUCUAACCACACCCCCAAGGGUUUUCAGCAGUGAUAAACAUUAUCAAUAAGCGACAGCUAGAAUCAGUUACAGGACUCAGAGCCGGCCAAUUUGGUGCCAGCCGCCGCGGCUAUACCUACAGGCUCAAGUUGAUAGUCAUCGGCGUUAAGCGUGAUUAAAGUAUCCCCCCAUUAGAGUUAAACUCCUGAUUAGCUGUGACAAGCUUUUUGGUUGGAAAAACAAAAACGAAAGUUACUCUAUCUGCACACUUGAACCCACGACAGUUAGGAAACAAACUGGGAUUAGAUACCCCACUAUGCCUGACCGUAAAAUAUCUUACCCACACCCAUAAACGCCCGGGAAUUACGAGUAAACUUAAAACCCAAAGGACUUGACGGUGUCCCAUUCCCCCUAGAGGAGCCUGUUCUAUAAUCGAUAACCCCCGCUCUACCUCACCACUUUUUGCUUAUUCAGCCUGUAUACCUCCGUCGUAAGCUUGCCCUGUGAACGUCUAUCGAGCAAGCCCAAGGGCCUUACCACCAACACGUCAGGUCAAGGUGCAGUCCAUGAAGUGGGAAGCAAUGGGCUACAAUUUCUAAGCUAGAACAAACGAAAUACUGCAUGAAACACAGUCAUGAAGGUGGAUUUAGUAGUAAAAAAGAAUUAGCGAGUCUUUUUUAAUCCGGCCCUGGGACGUGUACACACCGCCCGUCACCCUCUUCAAUAGUAACCCAAUUAGUUUAUAACACUUUUUCACGCCUUAGAAGAGGUAAGUCGUAACAUGGUAAGCGUACUGGAAAGUGCGCUUGGACAAAC
rnacentral:ncRNA from 1 species